rfam:Aeromicrobium sp. Leaf289 contig_1, whole genome shotgun sequence.
UUGGUCCUGGUUCACGGCCCGCGCCGCGGUCCGACCCAGUACC